GAUGAACGCUGGCGGCGUGCCUAAUACAUGCAAGUCGAACGAAGUCUUCGGACUUAGUGGCGAACGGGUGAGUAACACGUUGGCACCUACCCCUAAGUGGGGAAUAACUGCCCGAAAGGGUGGCUAAUACCGCAUAAUCCCGCAAGGGUAAAGCAGUAAUGCGCUUAGGGAGGGGCCUGCGUCCCAUUAGCUUGUUGGUAGUGUAAUGGACUACCAAGGCGACGAUGGGUAGCUGGAUCGAGAGGUUGACUAGCCACACUGGGACUGAGAUACGGCCCAGACUCCUACGGGAGGCAGCAGUAAGGAAUAUUCCACAAUGGACGAAAGUCUGAUGGAGCAACGCCGCGUGCAGGAUGACGGCCUUCGGGUUGUAAACUGCUUUUAUAUAGGAAGAUUAUGACGGUACUAUAUGAAUAAGGACCGGCUAACUACGUGCCAGCCGCCGCCGUAA
rnacentral:rRNA from 1 species